rnacentral:lncRNA from 1 species
UGUAAGUAGGGGAUUCUAGAACCCUCCAUUGAGGAGGUGACUUAGGCCUAUAAAUAGGAGGUAAGGCCAUUUGGCCAAACCAUCCAAGAAUCCAAGAAUUGUAAGCAAUUGUAAAGUUCUCUUAACUUUCAAUACAAAGCUUCCUUUCUCCCAUCUUCUAAGUGAUCUUAGCAUUCUCCAAGCUAUCUUAGCUUUCUUUGUGAUUCGAUCCGGGGAAGCGAGGCUUCGAAGGCUUACUUAGCUUGUUCGUCGAGGUAUUCAAGUCUAAGUGCCGCACGGGCGGAAGGCUUAAAGAGUCAUCCCGUGACAGCUGGUAUCAGAGCCAAGCUCGUGAAUCACUUGAAGGAAAGUAGGAUAUGGCAAGUGGAGAGAUGGUGUCCGGAGUCUCCGACCUAAGGGAGCGUACUGCCGAGGUCCAAGACGUUGCCAAGAGCAAGCCAAAGUUAAAGGACUUGCAAGCAUCGAUGGAGACCAUGGAAGAGCGACUCGAGAAGGUGGAACGAACCAUACUCGAGUUCGAUACUCGACUUGAUGAGGACGUUGUCGACAAGGAGGAAAUCCAAACCAUGGUGGACAAUGGUAAGGAUGAACUGCGUGGCUUGGUGGAAGGGCUACGAGAUGAGCUCCUUGGCGCUCUCAACACCAUGGCAGACAAGAUGCGGAGGGAAGUCCAGGUUCACCUUGACAACAUAGAGGCAAGGUUUGUGGCGCUUCAAGAAAAGAUAAAGGACAUAAGGGAACUUAAGGGAGAUGUGGCGUUUUGUAAAGAAGCAGUCGUGAAGCAAUUCGUGCAAGGGUCGAGGGAAAUCAAGGCGUUGGACUCCAAGGUAAUCGACUCCUUUAAACCCAAAUCCUAUAAUGGGAAGAGGGAAGCAAAGGAGCUCGACACAUUCGUGUGGAACGUGGAGCGAUACUUCAAGUACCUAAAGCUUGAAGAUGACGAGUCCAAAAUCUCAACGGCAACCAUGUUCUUAGCUGACAAUGCCCUUAUGUGGUGGCGUCGUCGGAGCAUGGAGAUUGAGCAAGGUACGUUCUCUCUCACCACUUGGGAUGAAUUUAAGAAAGAUCUUAUGUUGCACUUCUAUCCCCAAAAUGCCAAGUACGAAGCCAAAGAGAAACUAAGGUGGCUCAAGCAAACGGGGAGCGUCAAAGACUAUGUCAACGCCUUCGUGAGCUUGUUAUUCGAGGUGCCCAACAUGUCAGAGGAAGAUAAGCUCAUGUACUUCAUGAGUGGACUGCAAAAUUGGGCAAAACUCGAACUACAAAGGAGACACGUGCAAACAUUGUCUGAUGCCAUUGCCGCUGCCGAAUCCUUGAUUGAGUUUAAAUCAAGCCACCAAGGUGAUUCCAAGCCCACGGGGAAGAGGGGUAACCAUGAGAGAAGUGGGGGAGAACAUAAGCCGAAGGACAAGGCCGAGACAAGCAAACCGAAGGAGAAGAAAGCCGAUAAGCAUGACAAAGGCAAAGGUAAGUCUUGGCAACCCACUUGUUACCUAUGCGACGACCCUCACAUGAUGCGAGAUUGCCCACAAAAGAAGGCCCUUAAGGCCAUGGCCUUCAAGGAGGACAAGGCCGAGGAGAGUAACGAUGCAACGAUGGGAUGCAUCCGUCUACUGAAUGCCAUCCAGACAACCCUCCCACCACCUAAGGCUCAAGUUGGGGGAGGAUCAUUGUUCGUCGACAUCAAGACUGGUGACAAGACGACGCGUGUGUUGGUGGACACGGGAGCAACACACAACUUCAUGACGUCGGAGGAAGCCACAAGGCUUGGCCUCCGAGUCACCAAGGAGCCCGGUAGCGUGAAGACGGUAAAUUCCGCUGCCACCCCCAUUGUUGGAGUUGCGCGCAAUGUACACGUAGACAUUGGCACAUGGAAGGGAACAAUCGACUUCACCGUAGUUAAGAUGGACGACUAUGGCGUAGUCAUUGGGUUAGAGUUCAUGGACAAGGUACGAGCCUUUCCCAUUCCCUUCUACAAUAUUUUCUGUAUCCUGGCCGACGGAAGACAACCUUGCCUGGUGCCAUUGGAAAGGCAAGCCAAGAAGUGUACCCAACACUUGUCGGCAAUUCAAUUUGCCAAGUCUUGGAAGAAAGGCGAGGCCACAUUUCUUGCAACCCUAAUGUUGAAUGAAGGGGAGGAGAAGCACGGGCCUUUGCCGAAACAAGUGGAAGACGUCCUUGUGGAGUUUGCGGACGUGAUGCCUAAGGAACUGCCAAAGAAGUUGCCACCAAGGAGAGAGGUCGACCAUGCGAUUGAGUUGGAGCCUGGUGCUAAGCCUCCCUCCAAAUCACCUUAUAGGAUGUCGCCACCCGAGUUGGAGGAAUUAAGGAAGCAACUCAACGAGCUACUUGAUGCUGGCUACAUCCAACCCUCCAAGUCCCCAUAUGGUGCACCCGUCUUGUUCCAACGCAAGAAAGAAGGUAGCCUAAGGUUGUGCAUCGACUAUAGAGCAUUGAACAAGAUUACCAUCAAGAACAAGUACCCACUUCCGUUGAUCGCCGACUUAUUCGAUCAACUUGGUGAAGCAAGGUACUUCACAAAGUUAGAUCUUCGAUCGGGAUACUACCAAGUGAGGAUAGCCCCUGGAGACGAAUCGAAGACGGCGAUGGUGACCAGAUAUGGAUCGUUCGAGUAUAAAGUCAUGCCAUUUGGUCUGACCAAUGCCCCCGCAACAUUCUGCACAUUGAUGAAUAAGGUAUUCCAUCCUUAUCUUGACAAGUUUGUCGUGGUUUACAUUGAUGAUAUCGUUGUCUAUAGCAAGACAUUGGAGGAGCACGUCAAGCACUUGCGCAUAGUGUUCAAGACCCUUCGGGAGCAUGAACUCUAUGUCAAGAAGGAGAAAUGCUCCUUUGCUACAAAAGAAGUAGAAUUUCUUGGCCACAAGAUAAAGGAAGGGAAACUUAUUAUGGAAAAGGGCAAGAUCAAGGCCAUUCAAGAGUGGGAACCGCCGACCAAGGUACCAACACUACGAUCCUUUCUGGGGCUAGCCAACUACUAUCGGAGAUUCAUAAAAGGGUAUUCAGCUAUAGCGGCACCCUUAACAGACCUUCUUAAGAAAAACAAGGCAUGGGAAUGGACGGACCGGUGUCAAGAGGCCUUUGAGAGGUUGAAGAAGGCCCUAAUGGAGGAGCCUGUACUAAGGUUGCCCGACCUUAGUAAGCCAUUCGAGUUGCACACUGAUGCUUCCGACUUUGCCAUAGGAGGAGUGUUGAUGCAAGAGGGACAUCCGAUAGCCUAUGAAAGUCGCAAGCUAAACAAUGCCGAGAAGAGGUACACGACCCAUGAAAAGGAGAUGACCGCCAUCGUCCAUUGCCUUAGAGUUUGGAGGCAUUACUUGCUUGGUACCCCAUUCAUCAUCAAGACGGACAACGUUGCCACUAGCUACUUUCAAACCCAACAAAAGCUCACACCUAAGCAAGCAAGGUGGCAAUAGUUCUUAGCGGAGUUUGAUUACAAGCUAGAGUACAAGCAAGGAAAGGAGAAUGUGGUGGCCGAUGCUCUAAGUAGACGAGUAGAGUUAAUGGCUACGGUACUCAAGCCGCAAAGCCAUCUCUUGGGCCGUGUCCGAGAAGGUUUAUCACAUGACGUCCAAGCCAAGAACAUUGUGGAGUUUGUCAAGGAAGGGAAGACAAGAAGGUUUUGGCUUGAGGACGGCUUGCUAUACACCAAAGGCAAGCGGAUCUAUGUCCCAAAGUGGGGAAGCUUAAGGAAAGAAAUCCUUAAGGAGUGCCAUGACUCAAUGUGGGCAGGACAUCCUGGCACUCACCGCACGUUGGCUUUGGUGAGCGAUGCUUAUUAUUGGCCACAAAUGCGAGAUGAUGUAGAUUCAUACGUGAGGACUUGCCUUGUGUGCCAACAAGACAAAGUGGAACAAAGGCAACCGGGAGGACUGUUGGAACCACUUCCCACCCCAUCAAGACCAUGGGAGUGUUUAACUAUGGAUUUCAUCACACAUUUGCCCAAGUCUGAUGGAUGUGGAUCUAUCUUCGUCGUGGUCGAUAGAUUCACCAAGUAUGGCACCUUCAUACCCGCACCUGUGGAGUGCACAGCCGAAGUAGCUGCACGCUUGUUUCUAAAGCACGUGGUGAAGUAUUGGGGAGUUCCGAGGAGCAUAGUCAGUGAUCGAGAUGCUCGCUUCACGGGUAGAUUCUGGAAGGAGCUCUUCAAGCUACUUGGCUCAAAGUUAGAAUUAUCCACAGCUUUUCAUCCGCAAACCGAUGGACAAACGGAGCGGGUUAAUGCAUUGUUGGAGACUUAUUUGCGGCACUAUGUUAGUGCCAAUCAACGAGAUUGGGCUAAGUUACUUGAUGUUGCCCAAUUCUCUUAUAACUUGCAACGUUCGGAGUCGACGGGGAAAAGUCCGUUCGAGUUGGCUAUAGGGCAACAACCCUUGACCCCGAACACGGUCGUGACUGGCUACACGGGGAAUAGUCCAGCCGCUUUCAAAACUGAUAAGGAGUGGCAAUUAGCCCACGAACUUGCUCGAGCUCAUUUGGAGAAGGCUUCAAAGAAGAUGAAGAAAUGGGCAGAUCGCAAGCGAAGGAAUGUGGAGUUCCAAACUGGCGACCAAGUCUUUGUGAAGCUCAAUGCGUCUCAGCACAAGAGUACUCGUGGCUUGCAUAAGAGCUUGUUGCGGAAAUAUGAGGGACCAUUCCCUAUCAUCAAGAAGGUUGGCAAAGCCGCGUAUGUUGUGGAACUCCCACCCCGCCUCAAGUUUCACCCGGUGUUCCAUGUAAGCAACUUGAAGCCUUAUCAUGCAGACAAUGAGGAACCAAGUCGAGGUGAGUCUCAUCGAGCACCCCCUUUGAUGACGGAGGCAUUUGACAAAGAAGUGGAGAGCAUUGAAGCCAAGCGUGUCGUGGUGCGACCAAGACAACCAAAGCAUGUGGAGUACUUUGUCAAAUGGAAGGGGCUACCAUACUCCGAAGCAACAUGGGAGAAGGAGACGUCCUUAUGGCAAUAUAAGGACUUGAUUCAGACAUUCGAGAGGCAAGAGUCGACGAGGACGUCGACGGCUUAAGUGGGGGAGGAUGUCACGGGCCGCAUGUUAAAAACAAAGAAAAUGCCCAAGACAUCAUAUAUCUAAGCCCAUGAAGCCAUGUCUUCAUGGAAGCUUCUGGAACGUCCCGGAGAAAUCAAGAACGUGGCGGAGCAUUCAAGAUAAUCUAGGGCAUUCCGGAACAUUCCACACAAGUGUACAUAUUUAAGCCUCACCUAGAAUAAUCUAGAUUAGGCAAGUUGUAUCUAGAACUAUGCUAGAUAUUUUUGGAUGUAAGUAGGGGAUUCUAGAACCCUCCAUUGAGGAGGUGACUUAGGCCUAUAAAUAGGAGGUAAGGCCAUUUGGCCAAACCAUCCAAGAAUCCAAGAAUUGUAAGCAAUUGUAAAGUUCUCUUAACUUUCAAUACAAAGCUUCCUUUCUCCCAUCUUCUAAGUGAUCUUAGCAUUCUCCAAGCUAUCUUAGCUUUCUUUGUGAUUCGAUCCGGGGAAGCGAGGCUUCGAAGGCUUACUUAGCUUGUUCGUCGAGGUAUUCAAGUCUAAGUGCCGCACGGGCGGAAGGCUUAAAGAGUCAUCCCGUGACACUUGGAUGCCUUGAAUAAAUAUAACACUCCCAAGAUAAAUAAUUAACUGUCCAAUAUUAUAUUUUUCCUGUUUCUUUCUUUUUAUUCUCGGGAGAGAAACAAACCCAUAACAAAUAAUUGAAGAAAACAUACAGAAAAAAUUGGGGAGUAGUGACAUACAAUAUGCUGAGUUCUUCUUUGCUCAACGACAAACCUCAGAGAAAAUCAAACCUCUUAAACAACAAAAUCCAGCCAGAGAACUCAGUUUUGCAGUAAGUCGUAAACACCAUGCGAGAUAGCAAACGAAAGGCAGAUGUUUAAUAGCGAACAAUAGGGAAUACUCCAAGAAUCAAGCCCAGGAAACUUCAAAUCCAUUGCAACAAAAGAUAUAUGGAAGUAGUACUCUA